rnacentral:lncRNA from 1 species
AUGAGUGUGCGUAUAAGAGAGUAUUUAAAGAGGGGAGAAGAUUUAGCACUUGCAGUGAUUCUUCUUGCAGUUUGUGUUUUGUUUGACUUCGUCAUGCAGCAAAUCUACACACAGAGCCAUGAAGAGUUCGAGGUGUUCACCACUGUUCUGUCGCCUCAAGUUUGUCAGAAGAGAGUGAUAUUCAAGCACCAAGGAGAAAUGAUGGUUGUGGCAGCAGACUACAGCGCAGACUGUGAUGAAGAGCUGAGUGUCCGUGCCGGUGAGGUUGUGUUGCUGCUGUAUCAGGAGAAUGCUGACUGGUGUUAUGUCCGACUUCAGAACGGAAAGGAAGGAUACCUGCCCACAGCCUGCUUCACUACGAAGCAGGAGUCAUUGAGGCCCUAUGUAACUCAGCCAUCGCAGAGCUUUACACAAACGUCAUCUAAAGAUCGGAUUGGCUGCUCUGGAGGGCGUUCUCUGAAUCUGCUGCGGCGAGCGUCUCUGUCAGGAGUGCCAGGUUCACCUCGGUUGCUUCAGCGGCUGCUCUCUCGUCGACGUAGUGAGGGACAUGCUGUACGUUCGAUCGGCUCCAUCAAUCAUGCAUUUCAUCCUGACUGAUCCAUCUAACCCUAGAGCUCCAGUUUUCUCUUCUAAAUGGGUCACAGAACAUCAGAAACUAGGACAAGUCUGACACCAAAGUUCAGUCUGCAUGCAACUCCUUCAGAUUUGGAGAUAAAACUGACUUUGGUGUCCUGAUUAGGGUUUGGGGCCUCGGUAACUUCGUUGCCAGUUCCUAGCACUGAAACUGUUAACUGGUGUUAAGAAUCUUUACCAUUACUGCCCCGUGUAAAUAUGUGAAUACUGGUAAAAAAAAAAAAAAAAAUGUAAAGCCCUGCAAGUUGCUUUGGAUAAAAGCGUCUGCUAAAUGCAUAAAUGUAAAUAUUGUGAUUUUUUUUUUAUCCGAAAUUUCACACUCUUCUUCACCUAUGAAUGUAUUUAAUAUGUACAUGUUUUGACUAAUAAUACAGAAAGACUACAAUGAGAAAUUGUGAUUAUGUGUAAGUUUGUGUAAUAUAUAUAUAUAUAUAUAUAUAUAUAUAUAUGUAAUUUUAUAUUAUAAUGAUAGUGUUGCCAAAGUUAAUACCAACCCAAAAAAGUAUAAAAAUAAAAUUAUUUUUAAUCUAUAACAAAACACAGAGAAAACGCACUUGCAGAAAACCAUUUACAAUGGAAGUAUUAAAGUAUUAUGUAGUGUAUGUAAGUUUUUGUGUAUAUAUUUUCCAUUUUUCCUUUUUUUUUCAUUCGACCCUGAAAGUAUAAAAAUGAAUAAAAAAAUAGAAUAAAAAUAGAAUAAAAAUGAUACAAUGUAAUUUCAACCACACCUCAGAUCAUAACUUACCACACCACAAAGUAUCUAAACUAAACUAAAUUAUUAUUAUUUAUUAUUUGCCAUUUUCGAUGGUAUGAAUACUGUUAAAUGAUGGUUUACCCUUGAUGCUCUUUCAUUUUUAUGGACUUUUUAGCUUGUAUUUUGAGGACGUUGGCACAUAGCUCUGACUGCUGCAAAAUGUAAUGAAAUUAAAAGUCAUUUUGUAAUUCACAGGCUUUAAUGAUCAUCCCUUCAUCAGGCUUAACUAGGAGAAAAUAUCAACUCUAAUUUGGUAAUACGUUACAAUUAGGUUUAAUUUGUGAAUGCAUUAUGUAUUAUGAACUAACAAUGAACAAUUUCAUUUAACUUCAGAAUUUAUGAAAAUGAAAAAACGUACUAUUGUAAACAUUUAUUCAUAAUAGAUUAAAGUUACAGUUGUUUUACAACCAAAAAUAUGAAACAUAGUACUAUUAAAUUUUUUAAAGUAAUUAUAUUCAGCAAGGAUUCAUUAAAUUGAUCAAAAAUGACAUUAAAGGCAUUUAUAAUGUUACAUAAGAUUACAAAUAAAUGAAAUUUUCUUUUCAUUAAUGAUAUUUUUUCUCUUUUUUGCAUUAAGUGGCACAACUGUUUUCAGCAUUGAUAAGAAAUGUUUCUUGAGCACCAAAUCAUAUAAAAAUGUUUUCUAAAGGUUCAUGUGACACUGACAACUAGACCAAUGAUGCUGAAAAUUCAGCUUUUUCUUAAUGGAUAAAUCUAAAAUUUAAAAAUGCAAUACAAUAGAAAAGUUAUUUAACAUUGUAAUAUAAUAUUACAAUAUCACCAUAUAUAUAUAUAUAUAUAUAUAUAUAUGUGUGUGUGUAUAUAUAUAUAUAUAUAUAUAUAUAUAUAUAUAUAUAUAUAUAUAUGUGCAGGGGCGAUUCUAAGAUUUUGAUUUUAGGGGGGCUCAGCCCGCAAUAAGGGUAUGAUUAAAAAUAUUAUUUUACUAUUAGGGUAGGGUUGUAUACUACUAACCUUAUUGCAAUCCACUAUUCCAUUGUAUUCCCUGUAUUUCAUAUAUGGGAGUAGGAGUACUGACUGAGCCAUAUAUAACACUGUAAAAAAAACUAAUACAGUUUUUUAGAUGUGACCAGUCACUGGAAAAUUUUGAAUUGGGAAUGUAGAUUUUUUUAUUUAUUUUUAUUUUUUUUACAAUAAAGACUUCCUGAUUCAGUAUUAGGACAUUCAUGUUUAUCCUUUGAUGAUACCACUGCUUUUUCUUAUGAAAUGUACGUGGAAAUUGGCAGAAAAUUAAAACAACAUAAGGGUUCAAUGACUGCAAUGAAUCUUGGGAACACAGUGGUAUUGUGUGUGUGUGUGUGUGUGAGGCUGUCUGUUCUAUUCUCACCUGACUGUUGCUCAUUUGCAGACCUACUCCCGCACGACAAAAAAAAUGUUGUAUAUCCAUCUACAAUGAAAUAUAAAUUAUUUUUAUUUUUAUUAUUAUUAUUAUUAUUAUUAUUAUUAUUAAUUUUUAGCUUUUUAGCCUUUAUAAUCAACAAUACGGUUGGUUAUACAUCAAGUCAGCCCCUGAACAUUUAUUUCAUUUCAAAUCAUUUAACUAACCAGCUAAUAUUCAUUAAGAAUAUAGACAAAACAUGUAUUAAUGUAAUUGUCUAUUGGCAAUAUGUUUAAUCUGUUCUAUAUUUA